GCAGGUGGUUGCUUUUAGAAUCUAAAAGAGGAAAGUCCGAGCUACAUUAAGACAGGAUUCCAUUUAACAAAUGGCUGAUGUAAAUCAAGGGAAAGUGCAACAGAAAACAACCGCCAGCGUAAGAAAAUGGUAAGGGUGAAAAGGCGGGGUAAGAGCCCACCGACAUUGUAGCAAUACAUUGUGCCGUGCAAACCCAAUCCGUAGCAAGAAGAGUAGGUUAGAAGUCUUAAAUCUCUUAGCUCUUCGCAAGAGUGCGGUAGCGAUGCCGCACCUAGAUAAAUAGCCACCCACGACAGAACUCGGCUUAUGC
rnacentral:RNase_P_RNA from 1 species